rnacentral:rRNA from 1 species
AGAGUUUGAUCCUGGCUCAGGAUGAACGCUAGCUACAGGCUUAACACAUGCAAGUCGCGGGGCAGCAUGAAGUCAGCUUGCUGACUUUGAUGGCGACCGGCGCACGGGUGAGUAACGCGUAUCCAACCUGCCUGUUACCACGGCACAGCCCGUCGAAAGGCGGAUUAAUGCCGUAUGUGGUCCUUUGCGGGCAUCUAAUUAGGACUAAAGGUUCGGCGGUAACAGAUGGGGAUGCGUCCGAUUAGCUAGACGGCGGGGUAACGGCCCACCGUGGCUACGAUCGGUAGGGGUUCUGAGAGGAAGGUCCCCCACACUGGAACUGAGACACGGUCCAGACUCCUACGGGAGGCAGCAGUGAGGAAUAUUGGUCAAUGGGCGGAAGCCUGAACCAGCCAAGUAGCGUGAGGGAAGACUGCCCUAUGGGUUGUAAACCUCUUUUGUGCGGGGAUAAAGUGUGGGACGUGUCCCAUAUUGCAGGUACUGCACGAAUAAGGACCGGCUAAUUCCGUGCCAGCAGCCGCGGUAAUACGGAAGGUCCGGGCGUUAUCCGGAUUUAUUGGGUUUAAAGGGAGCGCAGGCCGUCCUUUAAGCGUGCUGUGAAAUGCCGCGGCUCAACCGUGGCACUGCAGCGCGAACUGGAGGACUUGAGUACGCACGAGGUAGGCGGAAUUCGUGGUGUAGCGGUGAAAUGCUUAGAUAUCACGAAGAACUCCGAUUGCGAAGGCAGCUUACCGGAGCGCAACUGACGCUGAGGCUCGAAAGCGCGGGUAUCGAACAGGAUUAGAUACCCUGGUAGUCCGCGCGGUAAACGAUGGAUGCCCGCCGUUGGGUUUAUGAAUUCAGCGGCCAAGCGAAAGCGUUAAGCAUCCCACCUGGGGAGUACGCCGGCAACGGUGAAACUCAAAGGAAUUGACG